rnacentral:rRNA from 1 species
AGAGUUUGAUCCUGGCUCAGAACGAACGCUGGCGGCAGGCUUAACACAUGCAAGUCGAACGAACUCUUCGGAGUUAGUGGCAGACGGGUGAGUAACGCGUGGGAACCUACCUUUAGGUACGGAACAACAGUUGGAAACGACUGCUAAUACCGUAUGAGCCCUAUGGGGGAAAGAUUUAUCGCCUAAGGAUGGGCCCGCGUUGGAUUAGCUAGUUGGUGGGGUAAAGGCCUACCAAGGCGACGAUCCAUAGCUGGUCUGAGAGGAUGAUCAGCCACACUGGGACUGAGACACGGCCCAGACUCCUACGGGAGGCAGCAGUGGGGAAUAUUGGACAAUGGGGGCAACCCUGAUCCAGCCAUGCCGCGUGAGUGAUGAAGGCCCUAGGGUUGUAAAGCUCUUUCAGCGAGGAGGAUAAUGACGUUAACCGUAGAAGAAGCCCCGGCUAACUUCGUGCCAGCAGCCGCCGCGGUAAUAC